CAAACCUGAUAUGUUCUAGAUAUGUUCUGGAUAUGUUCUAGACAUUGGGAAACUUGAAGGAAUAAAUUCAGCUGUGAAAUGUGCUGGUAUCCAGAUUCACUGAAGUGUACCUUCUGUGUAAAGCGAAUUUCAAGGAGGAUUAGGGCACAGGUGGUGAGGAUUACUUAUAGAAAACACAGGCACUUCCAAGCUCAAUGCAUGUUUCUGAGGCCUCAAUCUACAAUAAUAAAUUCAUCAGUAAUAAAAUGCAACAAUGAGAAAGUGAUAAGAUUUGUUGGCCUAGAAGCUGUAAGACAGUCAAAUGGCACAGUAAAAAGUUAUAUCAUAUUUUUGACACAUAUUUAUUGACCAAUCUACACUGCCAAGUAUCAGAAGAUGCACAGUGGUGUGUUCUAUAAUACACAAGCCAUGUAAUAUCUGAACUGAUGGAAUGGAAUGCAACAUAAGAAAUCGGUGGUCUCCUAUAAAUCCAGACAUUAGCAACAUUUGUAAAGAGACUAUAAAAUAAUGAGAUUCUUCUCACUGUUUUUGCUGUUGUUGUUUGGAGAAGUAAGCUGGGAUUAAUUAUAUGCAAAAUUUACUGGAAUGAGAACCUCCCACUAAGGAUACAGAGCGUUACUGUGCUGAAAACAGUGGGUAUACUUUUGUUUGCUCAGAUUAAACUCUGAAGAAGACGUGUCCUUCUAUAUGAGGCCAAAACUUAGCUUCAAAUAUUUACCCUCCAAGGCAUACCCUGUAUCUUCUAAGCAACAUAAAAUUGCCGGCUUCCCAUUAUACUUUUCCUUCUCCUUUCUUCCGCUACUAAACAGUUCUUCCUUGAAGGAAAUCCUUUUGUCACCAAUGCAAGGCUAAGGCGAGGAGUGAGUCUACAG